UCAAAUGAUUCUUUCUUGUUGUUACUCCCUUCCUCUAACAAUCAACCUUCAAUCAACCAACACUAUAUGCAGUCCUAUAACCAGUCCUACAAAAAGCACACAGAAAACAUUUCAAAUCUUUUCAAUGACAAAUCAAUUCAUUCAUAAGAAGAAGGAAACCCUAAGUAGAUAAAUGAUUGAAACCCGAAGUAGAGAAAUUAUAAAACCCUAACGAAAUUUAUUAAAACCAAAUAGAAAUCAUAAAUUGAAAAGGAAGUGAGGUUAACGAAAUCAAACAACAGUGGUGAGAAGCGGCGUGUUCACUAACUGAGAAGCUUGAAGCGCCGUGUUCACUAACAGAGAAGCUGCGUGUUCAGAUCUAAAACGGAGGAGCAGUUUGUGAGUUUGGAGUGAGACGGAGACGCGUACGGUUGUUUUCAGAGUGAGACGGAGGAGCGGUUUGUUUGGAGUGAGACGCGUACGGUUGUUUUCAGAUCUUUCUCUGUUC
rnacentral:lncRNA from 1 species